rnacentral:rRNA from 1 species
AGCUCCAAUAGCGUAUAUUAAUGUUGUUGCAGUUAAAAAGCUCGUAGUUGGAUUUCUGACAGGAGCGACCGGUCCGAGCAUUCGUGUUCGUGUUACUUGUGUUGUCUCUAGUCAUCCUUAUAGAGAACAAAUGUUGGCAUUAAGUUGUUGCGUUUGGGACCUAUAUCGUUUACUGUGAAAAAAUUAGAGUGUUCAAAGCAGGCAAUCGCUGUGAAUAUAUUAGCAUGGAAUAAUAAGAUAGGACUAUGGUACUAUUUUGUUGGUUUGCAUACCAAAGUAAUGAUUAAGAGGGACAGUUGGGGGUAUUCGUAUUUACAUGUCAGAGGUGAAAUUCUUGGAUUUUGGAAAGACGAACUACUGCGAAAGCAUUUACCAAGGAUGUUUUCA